CCUACGGGAGGCAGCAGUGAGGAAUAUUGGUCAAUGGACGAGAGUCUGAACCAGCCAAGUAGCGUGAAGGAUGACUGCCCUAUGGGUUGUAAACUUCUUUUAUAUGGGAAUAAAACGUUCCACGUGUGGGAUUUUGUAUGUACCAUAUGAAUAAGGAUCGGCUAACUCCGUGCCAGCAGCCGCGGUAAUACGGAGGAUCCGAGCGUUAUCCGGAUUUAUUGGGUUUAAAGGGAGCGUAGGUGGGUUGUUAAGUCAGUUGUGAAAGUUUGCGGCUCAACCAUAAAAUUGCAGUUGAAACUGGCAGUCUUGAGUACAGUAGAGGUGGGCGGAAUUCGUGGUGUAGCGGUGAAAUGCUUAGAUAUCACGAAGAACUCCGAUUGCGAAGGCAGUUCACUGGACUGCAACUGACACUGAGGCUCGAAAGUGUGGGUAUCAAACAGGAUUAGAUACCCGGGUAGUC
rnacentral:rRNA from 1 species